rnacentral:rRNA from 3 species
UACGUAGGCAGCAAGCGUUGUUCGGAGUUACUGGGCGUAAAGGGUGUGUAGGCGGUCGGAUAAGUGUGGUGUGAAAUCUCCCGGCUCAACUGGGAGGGUGCGCUACAAACUGUCUGGCUAGAGUGCGGGAUGGGAAAGUGGAAUUCCUGGUGUAGCGGUGAAAUGCGUAGAUAUCAGGAGGAACACCGGUGGUGUAGACGGCUUUCUGGACCGUAACUGACGCUGAAACACGAAAGCGUGGGUAGCAAACAGG